CGGUGCGGCCGGGAACUCGAGAGAGCAGCAGCCAGGAACGAGAGGGAAGCCGGGGGCCAACCACGAUGCUGUCGAAGAUUCCAUUAAAAAAAAAGAGAAGCCUGAGUCAAAUCUACGGGAAGUACAAAGCAGGCAUGGAAACCGGCAAGCGAGUUCUGGAGCCCUGUCAAUAUAAGAUGGUGCUGCAAUGUAUUCAAGAAGUGACAACAAGGCAUCUGGAUUCCAUGUGAAGCAGGAAAAAUGCUCUCUCUAAGGAAUAAAUCAGUCUGCGUUCAACAGGUUGAAAA